UACGUAGGGGCCAAGCGUUGUCCGGAUUUAUUGGGCGUAAAGAGCGUGUAGGCGGCCGUACAGGUCAGCUGUGAAAACUCGAGGCUCAACCUCGAGACGUCGGUUGAAACCGUACGGCUAGAGUCCGGAAGAGGAGAGUGGAAUUCCCGGUGUAGCGGUGAAAUGCGCAGAUAUCGGGAAGAACACCCGUGGCGAAGGCGGCUCUCUGGGACGGUACUGACGCUGAGACGCGAAAGCGUGGGGAGCGAACAGG
rnacentral:rRNA from 1 species